ensembl:lncRNA
GGAGUUUCUGCGGUUGUGGAUAGGAGACGGAGUGAGUUCUGUUUCUUUGUCGGGCCCUGACGCUGCUGAGGCUGAGAAGCGGCUGCUGUGAGACCUUUUGUGGUAAGGACCAGCCAAACAGGUGAGCGGUUCGGGUAGUAAGGGGACGGUGAGCGCUCGGGAGCCGCCAGGAUCUCCGGAGCAGGCGGCUGUCGGACCCCGCUCUUCUCGGGGCCGGCGUUAGGUCGCCGCCGGGCUCCCCCGGCUGUGCGGAGCCGAUACGGCAUCGCCGCCGCCGCCCGGCCGCCGUUGCAUUUUUGGAGGCGGCUGCCGCUCAGACCCCGAGUUCUCGCGCAGCCCCGGGGUGCUCUCAGCCCCCUCACCCUCGGGAUUUCUUUCAGCGGGUGCUUCAGUUCUUCAGGCUCUCCUCGGCUGAGCGAGGGCUGCAGCAGAGGCUCUCAUCGGCCCGAAGCGGUGAGCUCGUGGAAGGCGGUGAGUGUUCGAGAGUCGCUCGGUAAGAUCUCUCGUGCUGGGGCUCCUGUAGGGUUGCUGCUCGACUGCCUCUGUCUUUGGGAUCGGCACGGCGCCGCCGCUGGGCUCCCGCGUGGCUUUUUAGUAGGACCGGCACGGGGCCUCCGCCCGAGACCGAGCACGAUCCCGGGGUGGCCUCGGCCCCGGGGAGG